AUACGUAGGUGGCGAGCGUUAUCCGGAUUUAUUGGGUUUAAAGGGUGCGCAGGCGGCCAUUUAAGUCAGCGGUUAAAUCGUGGGGCUCAACCCCAUUCUGCCGUUGAUACUGGGUGGCUUGAUUGCGGUCGAGGUUGGCGGAAUUCGUUGUGUAGCGGUGAAAUGCAUAGAUAUGACGAAGAACACCGAUUGCGUAGGCAGCUGACCAGACCGCAAAUGACGCUCAUGCACGAAAGUGCGGGGAUCGAACAGGAUUAGAUACCCUGGUAGUCCGCACAGUAAACGAUGAAUGCUUGUUUUCGGCGAUAUAAUGUCGGAGGCAAAGCGAAAGCGAUAAGUAUUCCACCUGGGGAGUACGCCGGCAACGGUGAAACUCAAAUGAAUUGACGGGG
rnacentral:rRNA from 1 species